rnacentral:rRNA from 1 species
AAUGGAAGGGCCAUCGCUCAACGGAUAAAAGGUACUCCGGGGAUAACAGGCUGAUACCGCCCAAGAGUUCAUAUCGACGGCGGUGUUUGGCACCUCGAUGUCGGCUCAUCACAUCCUGGGGCUGAAGUAGGUCCCAAGGGUAUGGCUGUUCGCCAUUUAAAGUGGUACGCGAGCUGGGUUUAGAACGUCGUGAGACAGUUCGGUCCCUAUCUGCCGUGGGCGCUGGAGAACUGAGGGGGGCUGCUCCUAGUACGAGAGGACCGGAGUGGACGCAUCACUGGUGUUCGGGUUGUCAUGCCAAUGGCACUGCCCGGUAGCUAAAUGCGGAAGAGAUAAGUGCUGAAAGCAUCUAAGCACGAAACUUGCCCCGA